rnacentral:lncRNA from 1 species
GCAAAACAGGUAUCUUCCCAGAAAACGGGCUGGAUGGUUUGUGAGAAGAGGCAGGUCAGGGCUGGUGCGCCCAAGACCAUGGGUGACCCCUGCGAGGAGGGGCAUGUGGCCCCCAGGGGUGCAGCGGGCAGGGCCACAGAGCAAAGCCCCACACGCCUCCCUGCGCUACUGCCAUCGGGGCUGGGAAGGAUGCCACCGGAGGUCAGAGGUCAGGGGAACUCUGCCCUGUGGCCCCGGGGUCGCCUAGCCCAACCUCCUCCAGAGGAGACGACCCCGUCCGUGGCCGACCGGCCCAGAGCCGAGGAGCAGCGCAGGUGGACUGAGGACCGUCCAGGGGACCGGGGGCUCCCAGGAGUCCGGCCUUCGCAGGUCUACCCAGCACCAGGGGAACCGUAAGCCCCGUCACUGUUAGGCCUGGGGCCCCAUCAGCUCAUGGCUGCCAGGUUUUCUAAAAUGUACAAAAUGAAGAAGAUCUUAACCCUAAGUGACUAGGACCCACGGACUCCCCAGUAAGGACUGGUUCCAUCGCCCCUCAUGGAAGGGCCGUGGACGGAGCCGGAACCUCUGGGCACCCCCGCUGGGACCCAGCCAGGGGGAAGCAGUCGGAGGUGUGUAGGUCAGGUUUGGUGUCUGUGGGGUUCAUGGGUAACUGUCUCCCUUGGGCAGGGACAGCAGGGGCCUUCAGGGUCUGGGGACAGCGGGCGCAGGCCUGUGGCCCCCCAACCCCUCCAGCCCCCUCCAACCCUCCCAGCCCCCCAGGCCCCAGUCCUCUCCUUCCCCGAUCACCCUCACAGGGACCCCAACCACCUCCGCAUGGGAAGGCAGCGGGCUCCUUCCACCAAGCUGACCCACUGGGGUCUCUCAAGAGCCUCUGGGAAACGUGGGUGGCAUCUUGGGGUCUCGGGCUUAUGCUCUUUGCCACAUCCUAGCAGUUCUGACUGGAUGCUUUUCUACGUCAUCGAAGGACUUUGCUCACAGCUAAUAGCACCGGGUUCCCAGACACGGGGUGCCACAGACUGCCCCCCCACGCGCUGACUCCCCUCCCUGCCCACAGACAUGGCU